GGAUCCGCUUAGGACGGUUUGGUUUAACGACUGUACAAGUUCAAGUCUUGUCAUCUAUA
rnacentral:tRNA from 1 species